rnacentral:lncRNA from 1 species
UCAUGUGCAUGUAUAGAACUACUUUGAGCAUUUCUUGUAGGUCUGGUCUAGUGGCAACGAAUUCCUUUAGCAUUUGCUUCUCUGGGACUUACUUUAUUUCUCCUUUGUUUAUGAAGCUUUGUUUGACAGGAUAUAAAAUUCUUGGCUUAGACUUUUUUCUUAAAGGAGGCUAAAAGUUGGCCCCUAAUCUCUUCUAGCUUGUAAGGUUUCUGAGAAGUCCACUGUUAGCCUGAUGGGAUUUCCGUUAUAGGUGAUUUGAUGCUUCUCUCUAACUGCUUUUAAGAUUUGCCCCUUCAUAUUAACCUUGGAUAGUCUGGUGACUAUAUAUUUUGAUGAUGUUUGUUUUGCAUAGCAUUUUCUAGCUGUUCUCUGAAUUCCUUGUAUCUGGAUGUCUAUGUCUCUAAAAAGAUUGGGGACAGUUUCCUAAAUUAUUCCCUCAAAUAUAUUUUCCAAACUUCUUACUUUUUCUUUUUCUUCCUAAGAAUACCUAUAGGUCAUAGGUUUUGUUGCUUUACAUAAUCCCAUAUUUCUCAAAGGCUUUGUUCAUUUUCCAAAAAUUUCUUCUUUAUUUUUAUCUGACUUUGUUAAUUUGAAAUACUAGUCUUUGAGCUCUGAAAUUCUUUCUUCUUCUUGGUCUUGUCUCUUGUUACAACUUUCAACUGUGUUCUGAAGUUCUUUUAGUCAAUAUUUCAUUUCCAGGAGUUCUGGGGGUUUUGUUGUUGUUGCUGUUUUUAAAUAAAUCUACAUCAUCUUGUAUCUCCUGGACUGUUUUUCUGUUUUCUUUGUGUUGAUUUUCAACUUUCUCUGGGAUAUCAUUGAGCUUCCUUACAAUCUAUAUUUUGAAUUCUUUAUCUGUCAUUUCAAAAUUUUCAUUCUGACUAGGAUAAUAUUCUGUUUCUUGAUGGUGUUGGAGUUCUUGUGUUUGUUUCUUCUCAUUUGCAGAAACUGUCACUCCAUUUUUUUUUUUUUUUUUUUUUUUUUUUUUGAGGGGGAAUCUCUCUCUGUCACCCAGGCUGGAGUGCUGUGGUUCGAUCUUGGCUCAUUGCAACCUUCACCUCCUGGGUUCAAGUGAUUCUCCUGCCUCAGCCUCCUGAGUAACUGGGAUUAGAAGUGCAUGCCACCAUGCCUGGCUAAUUUUUGUAUUUUUAGUAGAGAUAGGGUUUUACCGUGUUGGCCAAGCUGGUCUCGAACUCCUAACCUCAAGUGAUCCACCAGCCUUGGCCUCCCAAAGUGUUGGGGUUACAGGCAUGAGCCACUGUGCCCGACCCAAGCUGUCACUUCUUAUUUUUGAAUUUAUUUUCGCUUGGAUGGGAUUUCCCACCCCGUCCUUGAGACUGUGGCUGUAGAGUGUGUUGGGCUGGGUCUUCCAGCUUUGCUUCUGUAAGUAGUUGAAAUGGUCAGAUGAAACCAGGGCAUCUGUGCUGUUGGCCUUUCACUGGGGAAGGCAGAACUACUCAGCUGGAGCAAUGGAGGCUGGCAGCCAUGGGGUGGAUAAUCUGUACUUUCCUCCUGCAAGAGCAGUGGUGGAUUUCACUGUUGGGGGCACACAAAGGUGCCUAGUUUUCUCUGCUCCCUCCCUGGCCCAGGGGGUGGCAGGGGCUCUUAGGGAGCUGAGUUCUCAGGAGAACGCCUGGUCAUAACCAAAAUGCACAUGCAGGAGUAGACUGACCUGACACAGAAGGCAGGCCCUGUUUAGUGGGGAUAGCUGAGGUAAGCAGUUGUGCAGUACAGCACUGUUUUAAAUGUUGUUCUUGUGUAGUUAUAAUAGUUUUCCUUUUCCUUUGAAAAAUGAUCUAGUUUGACAAUAAACUGUUUGAUCACAGUAUUACUUAAGUGUCCUCACUCUCUCUUCUCCUGCUUCUGUAUUUCUUGCCUUGACUACUCAUAUGUUCCUGAAAUCCAUCUACUGAGAGGGGAGCAUUACACAACUGAAACAUCACUGCAGAGGUGUCAUUUAUAUAAACAUUAUGUGAAUGGUGUCACUGGAAUUUUUUAGUUCACAAUCUAUACUCCCAGCUUUUGCAUCUGUCUCGUUCACGAAUCUCUAAAUGAUUUGCUUUCCCCAGGCUGAUGAAGACUGGGGCUCAAAAAGACCCAAUCUUGGAAAUGUAAUUUUAUCUCCAAAAUUAAUCAGGACAACGCCUUAUAUUCAUUCCCCCACUGCUCCUCACACUUGGCUUGAUUCAUUCCUCAGCCUAGUUUUUUGACUCGUAGCCCUUUAAUAGAAGAUCUAGGUUACCUUUGACACUUCCAUCCUCUGCAAAGUACAAUCUCUGUUAUUAAUCUCCUUGCUUCAUGUGUGAUUUGCGGGUCAUCUGUCCUAUGUGGCUCCAAGUGGUCUCCUAGAAAAGGAAUAGAAUACAGAAUAUGAUAAACCUAGGACAGCAGUUAACCCAGUGACCAUUCACUCUCCUGACCCUCCGGGAGAUCAGAUGUGCUAACACUUCAUGAUCCUGGAAAAGGCUGACUCAUUUCUCUGGUACAAUCUACCCUAACUUAAAAUCCUUUAGAAAGUCCCUGGAACAAACAUGAUUCUCUCCAGACAACAGAUCAGAGAAGCUUUAAGAACAAUUCUAGCCUUUGUAAUACUUAGGGAGCAGGGCAACCAAAUGGCUUCAUGGAAAGAGCCCUAAAAUGGGAGUUAUGGGAUCUAUGGAGACCACCUAAGAAUGCACCUCUGAAAAAUACAGCUUGGUAAUCCACAACCUGAUAACUGUGUCUUAGAUUCCCUUGCUGGGGCUGCACAACAAACCCCUGAGAGAGACUAAAGCAUACAUUGCACUGUGAGUACAGCAUGAAUUCUGGUUGCCUUUGCCAUGGGGAAUGUCCUCCAUUGACUAACCCAGGGUCCACAUUGGGCUGACCUUCUUCAGCACAAGGUCAUUUACCUAUUCUACUCCAUCUUCAGCCUGUUAGGAGGGCUGCUUUUUGUCUCUACUUGUCCUCUGUAGCCUUCCCAUAAAUCAAAGUUCUAGGAUAGUAUCAUACACUCCAGACAGGGCAGGACAGGUCCUUCUACUUUCAUUGUCCUUAACUUUCACUGUCCUUAACUUGAGCUCGCUGCAUGUCCUACAGGACUGGCUCAACCUUGCUAUCCUUACCAACCUCACCAAAACCCUUCUGCUAAGAUCACCUCCUAAUUGAAGAGUGAAAAGAUUCUUUUCCAUUUAUACUAUAGUUAUACUUUUCAGCUUUAAAUACCACUUAGUUUUGUUUUGUUUGCUUUUAUUACUUUAAUUUUUAAAACAUUACAUACUGUAUUGUACUAUACUUACAGAGAAUUAUGUAUAUACUUACACUUGCAUAGAUCAGUAUGCAUUGGUCUGUAUUCAUGACACAGAGGAUAUGGAACAAUUCUAACACCCUGAAUAAUUCUCUUUUCCUGUCCCUUUGUAUUCAGUCUCCCCCUUCCUAAUCCUUAACAACCACUGACAAGUUUUCUGUCUUACAUUUUUUUACUUUUCCAUAAUGUCAUAUAAAUAGAAUCAUAUAAAAUGUAAGUUUUUGAGACUAGGUUCUUUUACUUAGCACACUGAGAAUCAGGGACAUUGGGCAAUGUCUGGAGACCUUGUUAGUUAACUUGUCAGGGAAGAGUGUUACUGUCAUCUAGUGGAUAAAGUCCAAGGAUGCAACAAAAUAACCUACAGUGCACAGGAUGCCCUACAAGUCAUUCGGCCCAAAAAAGUCAAGAGCCCUGCUGUUGAGAAAUCUUAAUUUAGCACAAUGUACUUGAGAUUCAUUCAUAUUGUUGUAUGCUUCAAUAGUUAAUUUUAUUGCUGAGUAGCAUUCCAUUGUGUGGAUGUACGACAAUUUAUUUACCCAUUUAUCCCUGUAAAACAUCUGGAUUGUUUCCAAGUGUGAACAACUAUAAAUAAUGCUGCUGUAAACCUGCAUGCACAGGUUUUGAAUGACAUGUUUCCUUUCUCUAGGAUACAUACCCAGAAGUGUGAUGUGUGGCUCACAUGAGUGUAUGUUAGCUUUUCAGAAACCAUGAAAUGGUUUCCAGAGCGGCUAUAGGUGUGACACUGCAGAUCAAGGCAGAGAACAGCUCCAGCACCCUAGAAGCCCUCUUUGGGGCUCUUUCUAUUACAGCUCUACACUCAAAGGUGAAUAGCAUCCUAACUUCUAAUAGCAGAGAUUCAGUGUAAAUGUUUUGAACUGUAUAUAACCGAAAUAAUAAAAUACAAGCUCUGCUUUUUCUGGCUUCUAUCUGUCAAUAUUUUGUUUGUGAAAUUCAUCAAUAGUAUUGUGUGUAGUUUUGAUCAUUGAUACUCAUUAAUGCACAGGGCUCGUUUGUGUGAGUAUACCACAUUUUAAUUUUACAUUCUCUUCCUGAUGACUCUUUUGCCAUUCUUUUUAUUGAGUUUUAAUUUUUAUUCAAUAAACCAUACCCAUUUUAAGUGUACAGUUCAAUGAGCUAUGACAAGUAUAUAUACUGGUGGGAACACCACCACUAUCAAGAGACAAGAUACUUCAUAACAACAAAAAUAUUUCCUCAUUCCCUGCAGAUACAUCUACUCCCAGGCACAUACUGAUCAGCUUUCUUUAUUUAGCUAUAGCUUAGCUUGGUCAUUUAUAGAAUUGCCUGUAAAUAGAAACAUAUAUUAUAUACUCUUUUGUGUCUGACUUCUCUGGCUGUGCCUGUGUUUCGGGUUUGUUUAUGUUUUUGUGUGUAUCAGCAAUCUCUAUUUUUAUUUCUGAAUAACAUUUCAACUAUAUGAAUGUAAAAAUUUGUUUAUUCACUUGCUGUUGGGCAUUUUAAUACUCCAGCUUUGGCUUAUGAUGCAUAAACCAUUAAUUUAUGAAAAAUUAUGUACAAGUCUUUGUGUGGACAUGGAUUUUCAUUUCCUUGAGUAAAUAAAUAAGUAUUAAAUACUGGAUCCUAUGCUAUAUUUAUGUUUAACUUUAUAAUAACUGCCAAAGUAAUUUCCAAAUUGGUUGAUUUAUUAGUCUGUUUUCAUACUGCUAUAAAGAACUUCCUGAAACUGGGUAAUUUAUAAAUGAAAGAGGUUUAAUUGACUCACAAUUCCGUAUGUCUGGGGAGACCUCAGGAAACGUACAAUCAUGGCAGAAGUUGAAGGGGAGGCAGGCACCUUCUUCACAUGGUGGCAAGAGAGAGAAUGAAUGCAGGAGAAACUACCGAACAAUUAUAAAACCAUCAGAUCUUGAGAGAACGCAUUCACUAUCAUGAGAACAGCAUAGGGCUAACCGCCCCCAUAAUUCAAUUACCUCUACCUGAUCAAUCCCUUGAUGAGUGGGGAUUAUGGGGAUUUUGAAGAUUACAAUUCAAGAUGAGAUUUUCGGUGAGGACACAGGCAAACCAUAUCAGUUGUACCAUUUUGCAUUCUCAAUAGUUAAACCUAAGAGUCCUAGUUGUUUAACAUCCUCACCAACAGUUUUUGGCAAGGUUUUGUUUGGUUUUUAAUUUUAGCCAUUCUAAUUGAUGUCCAAUGGUAUCUCAUUAGGGUUAGAAUUUGGUGGUUGUAGUGUUCUCUGUAUGUCAGAUUUUUUUAUCCUUUAUAUCCGUUAUUGAUUUCUGUCUAUUUAUUUUAUCAAUUACCAAGAGAGAACUGUUAAAAUCUCCAGCUAUAUUGUAGACACGGCUAUUUUUCCU